CUGACACAGCUUGUCAGCAGGGGAGAACCAGGUUGCCCCAAGGACUUACCGACGCCCCAGAAAUAGACCCCUGCCCCCUGCGUUCCUCUCCCCCAUUUUCUCCCUCCCUCUCCCCACCCCUUCUCAUUCCCGCUAACCUUUCCCUCUCUACCCUCCUUCUCCCGCCUUUUUUCUCAGCCUACAGUUUCAAUUCCAGCACAGGUAUGAACACCAGAUUUUAGGUCAGCAAACUGACUCGAGGCAUUCCCAGUAGCGCAAACUUUCCGGGAAUGGCAGGGCGUUUUGUCUGUGCUCAGCUGGCCUAACCAAAAGAAAGGAGGUAAAGAAGGGAGGGAGGAAGAGAAGAGAGAAGCAGAAAACAGCCCCAGCAUCCCCCGCUGCAGCGCAUCACUGACACACCUCCGCGGCGUAGCUAUCACCUCAUCUCCAUCUUUUGGAUAAAUCUAGAACCACGGAGGAUUUAAUAAUUCCAAGAAGGCUGAUCCAGCAAGUGAUUUUCUUUGGAGCGGGUAACCAUUUGUUUAUAGCCAUAGCGAUUUGAUUGGUGGAGCCGGUGGCCUCCCUUAGCCAAGGUAGGCUGUCUUUUCUUCCCUCGCAGGCAGUAAAGGAAACCUUCUCGUCACUUACUUCACCCCUGAAAGCAGUUUGGGUUCACAGUGUUUAAGGAACACUCCGGAAUACCAGGAGUUUGGGGAGGAUAUUGAUCUUUCCGUUCCG
rnacentral:lncRNA from 1 species